ACUAAGCCAAGGCUGAGGAGUGGGAACUGGAAAGACCGGGCUAGGAGUUUUUGCAAAACCUCGCCCCCCUGUAACUGUCAGACUGCCCGACUGUGGGGCCGUCUCCGGAGAAGGGCGAGAGUCCUGAGUUGGGGAUGCGGUGACGGCGGGGCCUGCGGGGGCCCUGAGUGGCGAGGGUGUGUGCGUGCGGUCCCGGCCGGCGGGGGAAAGCCGGCGGGCGCUGCAGGUGCACGCGCGGCCCCAUCGGCCUCACACGCCUGCCCCGUGCGGCAGAGCCCCCUGCACCAAUCCGGGGCUGGAGUGGAGAGCGAGAUCGGGGAGCCCUGGGCAAGGAGCCGGACAAGUGACGAGCGUCUUUACCUGGGAAGGCGGGUUUGGGAGAAGUUGGGCGAGGAGAAGAGGGCGGGAUUCAAGACAGCAAAAGAAGCAGGUUCGGCGGGCUGGUGGGGGCCCGAGGGCGGCGGGGCCCCGCGGGGUAUAAAUAGCCGGCCCGCGUUUGACAGGCGCUGCGGUGACUGGCGGUGCCGCCCCCGCCCCCCCGCCGCGUGGGGAGGGGAGGAGCACUCUGAGCUGGCGGGGAGGGGGAGGCGGACUCCAGUGUCCUGGUGGAGGCGGCAGGAGG
rnacentral:lncRNA from 1 species